AGCUUUAGCCAAGAAGGAAGAAGAAAUGGAGAACCUUUCUCGUCCAUUAACCAGCACUCCAGAAACAAUCUGGUCUACACUCCGAGGAAUGCGCCUUAUGCUAGUGAGGAAAUUGAUGUGGUUCGUGAGCAAUGGACGAAGUUUUUUACCACCAAGUAUUUAUUAUUGACCUGAGGGCGGUUGAUCGAGUUGGUUUAGAUGUUAUAGAACAAUCUUUUAUGUUAAAAUGUAUGCGUACGUUGAAAUUGGAACGUAAAUAUAUUUAAAUGUAUCGGUAUGUGCACUUUUGGUUUUGGGAAAUAUACAAAACUCCAGUUGUUGUUUUUA